AGUCUUGAUGCAGGAGUGGGCAGUCUUGCUUUAAGACAUGUGAUCUGACUCACUCUCAGCUCUCUCUCUCUUUCCAGCUGGGCUACAUUGUCACACACACACACAGAGAGAGAAACACACACACUCACACGCUCACUCACACACCCGCUCUACCUCUCUGACACAGACUCUACUUAGUGCGUUGGAGAGAGCACUGAGGCUCACACUAUCAGCGCAGCUUCUCAAUGGGGGGACGCAGCCAAGAGCAGACAGAGCAGUCAUUCCACUGGAGCCUUCCGCUGCACGCGUGAGAGAGAGAGAGAGAGAGACGAUCAGUGAGGGGGGUAAAUUAGCUCCCCUGUCAUCACAACAGAGGAGUUCUACAGACGGAGCAGAGAGACACAGACUUGAGGGAGGAGAGGAGGAGAGAUCUGCACGUAUGUGGCUGGUACAGCAGUGACAUGAUCAGCCUCCCAUCCCUCCCAUCCUGACCAGUGUGUGACACAGACCCCUGACUGUUUGUGUUGCCAAGGAUUUCAAAAAGGAACUGGGCAGCAGAAGGGAAUAUUGAGGAAAAAGAUCAGCGCUUAAGCUCCUUUUUUUUUGUGCUUGUGUUAUGAGGACUGGAAUUUCAGCGGGAAUCCCUGUGGCUCCAAACUAUGGAUGGAUUUAAGACAGAAGAGUGAGUCUGCUGGGCAGGCAGGCGGUUAUUGUGACUGAGCCCCUUUCCUCCUGGACGCACUGCUCAGAAUCGGCCAUACCAUGUCCUGGUUGUUGGUCAUGUGGAUUAGCCUCGGCUUCCUGUUGCUGUGCCACGCCACACUCUACCAGACCAUCCAGCAGCACCACGUGGCCCGGCCCGGUCGCACAGACAUCCUCACCCUGGAGGGAGGCACGUGCGAGGUGAUCGCCGCCCACCGAUGCUGUAACAAGAAUCGUAUCGAGGAGCGUUCUCAGACAGUCAAAUGCUCCUGUUUACCAGGGAAAGUGGCCGGGACGACACGCAACAAGCCCUCCUGUGUGGAUGCGUCCAUUGUAAUUGGGAAAUGGUGGUGUGAGAUGGAACCGUGUCUGGAGGGAGAAGAGUGCAAGACUCUGCCUGACAACUCUGGAUGGAUGUGCUCCUCUGGGAACAAAAUCAAGACCACGAGGAACACCCAGCCAUACUCCCCUUUUUAGCUUCUGGAAGCAAAAUGCAGAUGAUGCGUCCACGGAAAUUGAGCUGCAUUCUUGCUUCUGUAAAGAUUCAUCCCAGGACCUAACAGAGAGCUCCUAUUGCAGGGCUGCGUGCCAGGCUCUUCCCCUCACCUACCCCUUUCUCUUCCCACCGAACGCACUGAAACUAUUACAUCCACUGCUACUGACUGGAUUACCUGGGACCACAAAAAGGAUAUCCACCCAGAUAAACAGCUUUGCUCGUGUGGUGCCAAGGAUUUGAAACCAGACUAAUCCCCUGUUUGAUCAAUGAGCCCCAUGUUGGUGACUCUCCUCUUCCGCACAGCUGUGGCCAGUUUCCGACAUACUCCUGCUCUCUGUUUCCCCUGCUCUCUGUCUCGCCCUCGAAAACUGAAGCAGCUUAGCGGGGGUUAUUUAGAGGUUGUUAAAACAUUAUUUGAAGACAUUUGCGCAGCCUGCCUGAAGGUAAAUGGGUUGAGGGGCUUACAUGGACCUGAACAUGGGAAUCCACAGAACUGUAGGAGAGAAAUUACCCUGAUAUCCUUUUCUUUCUGCGUGGAAGGUGUUUGUAUUGGACUCACCGCUUCAGCAGGAUGGCUUUGCUGUGAGGACACAGAGGAGAGUCAUGUACUGGAUUUUCAGUGAACACGACCACUAGCAGCCUAUGACGGGUUAAAGAAGAAUCUUUCGGAGGCCUGAGCUUCCCUCAUGGCCUCACCUUCAAACUCCUGGAUGGACAUUUGACGUUGAUCGGUGGGCAUGCCCAGUGUAAAUUCAUGAGCACCUCUUUUCUUUGUAUGUAAGAUAAUUUGUGUAUAUAUACAUAUAUAAAUACAUUACAUAUUAGAUGACAGAUCCAAGAAGCUGAAGAUGAUUAAGAGCUCCGGGUAUCGAUCAGACCCUGAAUAUAUACUCCAGAGGCUCUUGUCCCAAUACAGUGUUGUGUUUGCUUGCAUUGGAAACAGCCUCAUUGGAAUCAUGAAAAUAAGUAUUGUUCACUUUUGUCAUUCAGCAACACUGUUGGUGAAGCCAGAAAAUGCUUGUAGUUUCUUUAAAGACGAGGAAAACACUGUAUAGAACUGCCUCAAUAAAGAAAGCAGCCCCGACAACAACAGCCCCUGAGCUUUCCACUCAGAUCCAGCAGGGACGUAGAACAGCAUCAGAAAAACUGGGACCGUAAUCGGACAGUUAGCGUCAGUUUCUGCCCGUGGAGAGCGGUCGUGGACGGCUGCUUUAUUGUGUUUGUCGUGUAGAUCUCGCUCUCCCACACCAGAGAGAAAUGAUUUAUUCCAAAUGACAGAGAGAAAGUAUUAGUCACAAUGGAGAAACAUGCAGUUAUCCCCCAGUAGAUAUAAGUACAUUACAGGACAGCCUUAUGAGAAAUAAAUAUGGUUUUCUAUACUGA